CAACUACUCCCUCCGUUCCAAAUUACUCAUCGAAGAAAUGGAUGUAUCUAGAACUAAAAUACAUCGAGAUACAUCCAUACCUGCGACAAGUAAUUCGGAACGGAGGGAGUACAAG
rfam:Triticum urartu cultivar G1812 contig918255, whole genome shotgun sequence.